rnacentral:rRNA from 1 species
GAUGAACGCUAGCGGCGUGCCUUAUGCAUGCAAGUCGAACGGUCUUAAGCAAUUAAGAUAGUGGCGAACGGGUGAGUAACGCGUAAGUAACCUACCUCUAAGUGGGGGAUAGCUUCGGGAAACUGAAGGUAAUACCGCAUGUGGUGGGCCGACAUAUGUUGGUUCACUAAAGCCGUAAGGCGCUUGGUGAAGGGCUUGCGUCCGAUUAGCUAGUUGGUGGGGUAAUGGCCUACCAAGGCUUCGAUCGGUAGCUGGUCUGAGAGGAUGAUCAGCCACACUGGGACUGAGACACGGCCCAGACUCCUACGGGAGGCAGCAGCAAGGAAUCUUGGGCAAUGGGCGAAAGCCUGACCCAGCAACGCCGCGUGAGGGAUGAAGGCUUUCGGGUUGUAAACCUCUUUUCAUAGGGAAGAAUAAUGACGGUACCUGUGGAAUAAGCUUCGGCUAACUACGU